GACGAACCGUGCAAACGUUAUUCGGAAUCACUGGGCUUAAAGGGCGCGUAGGCGGAACGGCGCGUCGGCGUUGAAAUCCCCCGGCUCAACCGGGGAAGCGGCGUCGAAACGGCCGUUCUGGAGGGGCGUAGAGGGACUCGGAACUUCCGGUGGAGCGGUGAUAUGCGUUGAGAUCGGAAGGAACGCCCGUGGCGAAAGCGGAGUCCUGGACGCUUACUGACGCUGAGGCGCGAAAGCCAGGGGAGCAAACGGG
rnacentral:rRNA from 1 species